rnacentral:guide_RNA from 1 species
AUGCAAAUAACGUGUAAUACAGUCAAUAUAGAUGAUAAAUUA